UACGUAGGGUGCUAGCGUUGUCCGGAAUCAUUGGGCGUAAAGCGCGUGUAGGCGGCCCGGUAAGUCCGCUGUGAAAGUCGGGGGCUCAACCCUCGAAAGCCGGUGGAUACUGUCGGGCUCGAGUACGGAAGAGGCGAGUGGAAUUCCUGGUGUAGCGGUGAAAUGCGCAGAUAUCAGGAGGAACACCAAUUGCGAAGGCAGCUCGCUGGGACGUUACUGACGCUGAGACGCGAAAGCGUGGGGAGCAAACAGG
rnacentral:rRNA from 1 species